rnacentral:lncRNA from 1 species
AUGAUGAAGUCCAAGAAUUGACUGGAGGGUCUGGUAGGACAGAGGAUGGCCGAUACUAGGCAUGCAUGUGCAUACAGAAAAGAGAGUAACCCAAUAGUGAGGAAGAAAUUGAUGCUGCAGGAGAGAGGGAAUAAUUGCCGAAGCAAAGAUCUUGAGGUACUGAGAAAGGAUGACCCUAAUUUCCUUAAUGCUGCAGCCUGCUUCCACUGAGGGACUGGAGGCUCCUUGAGCAAAAUUAUCUACCUCUUCACCUUUGGAUCUUUCACAGUUCCCAGUUCGGUGUACUACAGAUUGU